UUAGGUAGGGCUCUAUCUGUCCAAAGUGAUGUGUAACUCACCACCCCCACAGCUGGUGUUGGUUUGGGGUUUUUCUUUGUUUAAUUUUACUUUUUUUUUUACAUCUGUGUUAAUGAAGGGAAGCCAACUGGAAACUGGCUAUAGAAGUUCUCUAUUUGCAUACACUAACCAAACCUAUAGGUGCUCUGCUCUUUGAGAAAUUCUGAUUUCACUUUAUGCUGAUGCAACACUCAGUUCAGCAGAAUUGCUCUGGAUACACAAUAGCAUAUGAAAUCAGAAUUAGGCUAUAUUUGUAUCAGAGUUCCAGAUUAUUUAUUCCUAUGAUGCAGUAUGAAAGGCCGUCAUAAGGAGAAGAAUGUUUAGUAGCAGCCCAGUUAAACACUUAAUAAUUUUAUUUUGAAAUAGUCUUUGUUAACAAAGUAGUCUUUUCAGCUCUCCAAAAGUACAGUAACCUUGUCUACAGUUUGUUUCAUUUUUGACACUUCAGUAUUUUUGUUCCUUGCUAGCUUAAAUGUUUCCUCUUCCUACUCUUUUGUAGCAUACAAACUUGCUGAACCCACACUCAGGAAAAAUAAUUGUUCUUCAUUUGCCAUACAGUGUUCUGGACUUCUGACCUUUAUGGGAUAGACUCUGAAAAGUCUGAGGUCUUGCUGUGUUAGUGCUCCUGACUCUAAGCCAGAGGUGAAUCCCUCUGUCCCUUCUCUCUCCAGCACCCCUCUGGGACAUGCCCAGAGCAUAAGAACGUCAUAAAAUACUUGUAAGAGAUCAAUUGAAGCAAUGUUCUGCCUGUACUUUGAAGUUAGUGUCCCCACUGGUUUGUUUCUGUUUCAGGUCACACUGCCAGCUUUGAGAAGGGCUGUGGUUCAGCAGGUGCUCAGUUUGUGCUGGACCAACUCUGUAAUAAAAGAUGGAAGUCAUCAUCCUUAUAUUUUGAAGCUUCAGUGGAGCUCUGAUCUGGAAAUAUGUCUGGGGGUUUGGAACUAGGUGCUUCUGUGACCUGAACUAGCAGAUUAAACUUUUGUUUAUUACACAUAAGGUGAGCUUUACCUCCUUUCCUAAUAACUGUGAAAUGGUUGUGAGUGGCUACAACUGUGUGUUAGUUGCACAGGAUGGUUCAAGAUAAGAGAAUCAUCAGCUCUUGUUCAAAUAUAAAUUUUAGACUACUGCCAUUUAGUGCCACGGUGUGAUUUUUGUGGUAGUUCUGUCUAAGUAUGAAAAAAAAACACAGAAAAUUUGCAAAAUAAUGCUGGUGAAGCAAUCAAGAUUUGCAAUGUGGGCAGUUUGCUUUAGUAUGGGAAUCUCAGUAAGCCCUCCUGAUUUUAUGCUCAGAAAUCAAUCAGUCUGUUUUCCAACCUGCCACAGCAAGACUCAAUCUAAAGUCUGAACCCAUGUAACAAAAGAGCAGGGAACCUGAUGCUAGACAAGAUAUGUCAAGGAACCUCCUACAUAUCCUUUUAAACAGUAACAAAUCUACCUCCAGUGAAGGUUAUCCUGAUGAGCUAUGCAAACUGCUUUCAUUGAAGAAAGGGUUUACCCCAUGCUUAUUUUGGUCAGGAUACAUCCCCACUAAUUGAAAUGGGAAUAAUCUGUGUUGCCCAUUUAAACAAGAAUGUGAAUGCUGCAUAGGCUUUUCUGUAUUUUCAAUUAGAAUCUGUUCUGAGUGAUUAAAACCUCACCCAGAGUUCUCUCAACAGCCCAAGCACGUGGUGGUAUAGAAAAAAAGACUUAUUUAGGCUUUUCUGUCUAAAGCAUUGAUAGUUCUGUUUGAUGCGUGUGACUUUGAACUGGAUCUGCAGCUUCAAAGGGGAUCUUCCUCAGAUGUUUUUCUUUCACUUAAAGCCUUGUCUUUUUAUCUGACAUAAGUGGUGUUGGGCUGUGGUGCUUUGGGUGGAGAACAAAUCAGUCAAAAGGUACAGAAGAUGCUUUGGUCUGCCUGCGUUUGCCUCACAAGCAGGACUGAAUUCAAAGCAAAGGUUUUGGGGUUGUUUUUUUUUCCUCUCCCUUUGCUAUGUAUGGAUUUUAGGUUCCCAUCACUGCCCUCCUCUGGGGUCUGGGAAAAGUGCUGUCCUGGAACACUUGCAUGGAAAAUAUUUUGGUGAAUAGAGGGAGAAGUAUGUGGGCAUCCACCCAUGUGAGUGGCUGUAGCAAAUUUAUGAGACCUUUAACACAAGCUGUCCCGGGGAAACCUCAGCAACCAUGGCUGGAAUAAAAAGCAGAGAACAAACUGAACUGGGAGACCA
rnacentral:lncRNA from 1 species